AUACUAAUAGUAUAAAAUAAAUUACCUUAACUUUUCAUGUUAAAAAUAUUACUAAUUUAGUAUA
rnacentral:tRNA from 1 species